AAGCUCUGCCCCACAUUCAAAAUUCAAAACCUCUAUCACAUUCAAAAUUCAAAAUUCUGUCUCCACAUAUAUAAGAUAAAUCAUUCAGGCUCCACAUUCAAAAUUCAAACCAUAUAUUCAAUGCAUCUCUCCCUCAAAUCUAGAUCCCUCAAAUCCCCUCUUCCAGGUAUGACAUCAUCCACGUCGGUGAAAAAUGGAGAAGAAGACGCCAGUGAGAAAACCUAGAGUUUGAUUCAAAUAUCCCCACCCUAUUUAUCAUCCUUUCACCAUCACAACAACAACAUUCGACACAAAAUCUCUCUCAAAUUUCAAACCUGCUCUCUCUCUCUCUCUCUCUCAAAGCUAUAUUUGAACAAGCGAUCCAUUCAUUUCAUUCUCAACAUCUCAAUUCAUCAAGGUGGAUUUAAUAUGUUACUACAUUGGAUUUAAUAUGUGCAUACCACAUGCUCGAUGAAAUGCCUUUGGGUAUCUAAGGUGAUUCUGGUACUUGUGAGUUGUGAUCAUAUGCCUACAUGUUGAUAGCUAACACGACAUAGGUUACAAUAUGCUAUUACACAUAUUCAAGUGAUUAAUUUUAUGUUUAAGUCUUCCAUUGAAAUGUAUGUUUCUGGGAAAUGGAUUUAUGAUUAACUACUCUAUAUUUGAGUUCUUAAUAAUUAGUUUUUGUCAUAUAUUAUUUGUUUUUUAUGCAUUUGUUUCAUGAGUUACCUCAAGAUACCGGAGAAGCUCUAUGUGAUGAUGUGGAUAUUGGCAGCGAUGAUUCUUCGAUUUAUGAUAGGUGGGAUAUGUUUGUAGAAAGAAGCCGACAUGACACAUGAAGAGUACCUUGAAAGCCCGUGGCAGAGGCAACUGAAUUUCACAUCAAUCGGCCAGUAAGCUUCUUUAAGUUUAUUUGGGUCCAAAGCAAAUAUGGAGCAUCUCUUAAAUAAUAAGUAAGCACUGUACACAUUUAUGUAACUAUAUUAAUAACAUGCAUUAUUAUGGUCCUACGGCGUAUAACUUCUGAUUCUUUUCUCAAA